GUGGGGAAUUUUGGACAAUGGGGGCAACCCUGAUCCAGCCAUUCCGCGUGAGUGAAGAAGGCCUUCGGGUUGUAAAGCUCUUUCGGCAGGAACGAAACGGUGAGCUCUAACAUAGCUCGCUAAUGACGGUACCUGAAGAAGAAGCACCGGCUAACUACGUGCCAGCAGCCGCGGUAAUACGUAGGGUGCGAGCGUUAAUCGGAAUUACUGGGCGUAAAGCGUGCGCAGGCGGUUGUGUAAGACAGGUGUGAAAUCCCCGGGCUUAACCUGGGAACUGCGCUUGUGACUGCACGGCUAGAGUAUGGCAGAGGGGGGUGGAAUUCCACGUGUAGCAGUGAAAUGCGUAGAGAUGUGGAGGAACACCGAUGGCGAAGGCAGCCCCCUGGGCCAAUACUGACGCUCAUGCACGAAAGCGUGGGGAGCAAACAGGAUUAGAUACCCGGGUAGUCC
rnacentral:rRNA from 1 species